rnacentral:rRNA from 1 species
CAUAGGUUAAUGAGGCGAACCGGGGGAACUGAAACAUCUAAGUACCCCGAGGAAAAGAAAUCAACCGAGAUUCCCCCAGUAGCGGCGAGCGAACGGGGAGGAGCCCAGAGCCUGAAUCAGUGUGUGUGUUAGUGGAAGCGUCUGGAAAGGCGCGCGAUACAGGGUGACAGCCCCGUACACAAAAAUGCACAUGCUGUGAGCUCGAUGAGUAGGGCGGGACACGUGGUAUCCUGUCUGAAUAUGGGGGGACCAUCCUCCAAGGCUAAAUACUCCUGACUGACCGAUAGUGAACCAGUACCGUGAGGGAAAGGCGAAAAGAACCCCGGCGAGGGGAGUGAAAAAGAACCUGAAACCGUGUACGUACAAGCAGUGGGAGCCUCUUAAUGGGGUGACUGCGUACCUUUUGUAUAAUGGGUCAGCGACUUAUAUUCUGUAGCAAGGUUAACCGAAUAGGGGAGCCGAAGGGAAACCGAGUCUUAACUGGGCGUUAAGUUGCAGGGUAUAGACCCGAAACCCGGUGAUCUAGCCAUGGGCAGGUUGAAGGUUGGGUAACACUAACUGGAGGACCGAACCGACUAAUGUUGAAAAAUUAGCGGAUGACUUGUGGCUGGGGGUGAAAGGCCAAUCAAACCGGGAGAUAGCUGGUUCUCCCCGAAAGCUAUUUAGGUAGCGCCUCGUGAAUUCAUCUCCGGGGGUAGAGCACUGUUUCGGCAAGGGGGUCAUCCCGACUUACCAACCCGAUGCAAACUGCGAAUACCGGAGAAUGUUAUCACGGGAGACACACGGCGGGUGCUAACGUCCGUCGUGAAGAGGGAAACAACCCAGACCGCCAGCUAAGGUCCCAAAGUCAUGGUUAAGUGGGAAACGAUGUGGGAAGGCCCAGACAGCCAGGAUGUUGGCUUAGAAGCAGCCAUCAUUUAAAGAAAGCGUAAUAGCUCACUGGUCGAGUCGGCCUGCGCGGAAGAUGUAACGGGGCUAAACCAUGCACCGAAGCUGCGGCAGCGACACUAUGUGUUGUUGGGUAGGGGAGCGUUCUGUAAGCCUGUGAAGGUGGCCUGUGAGGGUUGCUGGAGGUAUCAGAAGUGCGAAUGCUGACAUAAGUAACGAUAAAGCGGGUGAAAAGCCCGCUCGCCGGAAGACCAAGGGUUCCUGUCCAACGUUAAUCGGGGCAGGGUGAGUCGACCCCUAAGGCGAGGCCGAAAGGCGUAGUCGAUGGGAAACAGGUUAAUAUUCCUGUACUUGGUGUUACUGCGAAGGGGGGACGGAGAAGGCUAUGUUGGCCGGGCGACGGUUGUCCCGGUU